rnacentral:rRNA from 1 species
AAACUUAAAGGAAUUGACGGGGAGCACCACAACGGGUGGAGCUUGCGGUUUAAUUGGAUUCAACGCCGAAAUCUUACCGGGACCGACAGCAAUAUGAAGGCCAGGCUGAAGACUUUGCCGGAUUAGCUGAGAGGUGGUGCAUGGCCGUCGUCAGUUCGUACUGUGAAGCAUCCUGUUAAGUCAGGCAACGAGCGAGACCCACGCCCACAGUUGCCAGCGUACUCUCUGGAGUGACGGGUACACUGUGGGGACCGCCGCUGCUAAAGCGGAGGAAGGAAUGGGCAACGGUAGGUCAGUAUGCCCCGAAUAUCCCGGGCUACACGCGAGCUACAAUGGUUGGUACAAUGGGUAUCUACCCCGAAAGGGGACGGGAAUCUCCUAAAACCAAUCUUAGUUCGGAUUGAGGGCUGCAACUCGCCCUCAUGAAGCUGGAAUCCGUAGUAAUCGCGUUUCAACAGAACGCGGUGAAUACGUCCCUGCUCCUU